AGAGGUCAGUAUUACAUUGUCAGAAGAAUGACUGCUGUGUCACUUGUCCAUGGUGGCCCUGGUGCACACUUUUUCUCCAGACGUUUUGUAGAAUACAUCGGUGGUAAAGCAGUUGUUUCACAAUCUAUUCAAGAUGUCACAGAUCCAGACAUUCAGAAUGUGCUUCAGGAGCUAACGCAAAGCCAGAGGUAGCACAGGAGCUCAUCAUGUAGAACUACUAGAUCCAACUUUAGAAGAUAUUGUAAUGGUUGCAACAGGACUGAAGAUGAUUCCACCACUGGGAUUUAAGCCAAGGCCAACACUAAAAUUCCUGCACGACAAUUCCCCGUUUCCACCUGCUGAGACUUGCAACAAGCGAUACAUUAUGCUUGGCACUACGUUCAUCAUAUGACAAUUUAAAAUUUCAUAUUAGCUUUGAAAGUUUGAAUUCUCCGGUUUUGGGCUAUACUAUUUUAUUAAUACGGUUGACAAUAUAACUGAAGUGUUUUGCACAUACAAAUUAUACAUUGUUCAAAGCUUUUGUUACUGCUGGUGUUUAUGAAUUGCUGCUGUAUUGCAGUUUUCAAACAUUUGCCUUUUCCUUCAAUUUAAAGACUAAAUCAAGGGCAUCUUCCCAGACUUGUGGUGUUUGAAGGUUAUAUUGUUGCUUCAUGUAUGUGAGCUAAACUUGAUUAUCUUCAUCUCCACAAAGACCAACAGUUUCACAUCGGUCCCUUGACCAAAACCUAUAAUAUAGGAAUAUUGAAUAUUUGCUUAAAAAUAUGAUAUAUACAUACAUUUAUACUAAAAAAUAGAUUAAGAACAGUACCUUAAUUUGUUCAGUGGACAAGAAUGCCUGAAAGUUGCUAAAUAUCAUAAUAUAUGGAAAUGAGCAGAAUAUAUUUAGUAAAUGUUGAUAAAUGACACAAUA